rnacentral:misc_RNA from 1 species
CCGAGUUAGGGUCCGCAGAGGCCCGACCUCCCAACCCUUUGCUUACUUGACCCGAUGUUGCUUCGGCGGGCCCGCCUUUCCGGCCGCCGGGGGAUUGACCUCCCCCGGCCCGCGCCCGUCGAUGGCCUUCAACCUUAAAACUCCCAAGUAAAUCAUGUUUGUCUGAGUACCAGUCUUUAUGAAAAGCAAA